rnacentral:rRNA from 1 species
CCUACGGGUGGCAGCAGUGGGGAAUAUUGCACAAUGGGGGAAACCCUGAUGCAGCAACGCCGCGUGAGCGAUGAAGGCUUUCGGUAUGUAAAGCUCUUUUAUCAGGGAAGAUAAUGACGGUACCUCAGUAAUAAGCCACGGCUAACUACGUGCCAGCAGCCGCGGUAAUACGUAGGGGGCAAGCGUUAUCCGGAUUUACUGGGUGUAAAGGGCGCGUAGGCGGGCCUGCAAGCCAGAUGUGAAAGCUCUGGGCUCAACCCAGGGACUGCAUUUGGAACUGUCGUGCUAGAGUGUCGGAGAGGCAGGCGGAAUUCCUAGUGUAGCGGUGAAAUGCGUAGAUAUUAGGAGGAACACCAGUGGCGAAGGCGGCCUGCUGGACGAUGACUGACGUUGAGGCUCGAAAGCGUGGGGAGCAAACAGGAUUAGAUACCCGAGUAGUC